GGCCGCUGUUUGUCUGUAAUCUAUCUAAAUUUUGAGGUGAAAAUGCAGCCAUUUUAGCCAAAGGGUACACAUCAUGAACCUUAUAAUCAUUUCUAUAGAACUUGUCUUGAUACCCUGAGCUAUAAUAUUCGAAGAAGUGGAUGCUGACUCGGUUGCUUUUAAUACGGAUGCUAUAUGAUACGAAUUUACAAUAACACACCAGAAGUGGUAUGAUGUAAAUUAUUGGAAGAAGACUGAAGAAGAACUGACGUUGGGUCAAUGUUUUUCUGCUGUCAGUUUGAUCCACUUGAGCAUGCUGAACGAGUAAAGUUCCUUAUAUCCACAUUGGAAUGUGAAACAAUUAGUAUUUAAAUAACGGAAUUAAGUUUUCAAAUGAUUUUUGGCAUCAAAAUCUUCCGAUCGAUGUUUAGACAAAAACAAUGCAUUUUUUAAUUUUUUUUUUUAUCAAAGCCGGUAUUUACCUUUACUCGUCCUUGGCGUGAGACGUUAGACAUAUAAUAUAAUUAUCGAGUAUUUUAUAUUCUUUCAUCUGUGUUCUGUUUAAACAAACCAUUAUCACUUUUCAAUUAUCCGACGGCUUGGUCAAAAUGUCAACUUGUUCUCGCAUUUUAAUCAGUCAUUCCCGAUUCUUUCGAUACACUCGGGAUUUUACCACGUUUACGUACGUACAUAUAGUAAACAGGUAAAAGUAGAGCGGGGAAAUGUUCAUUCAUGAAAUAUUCAUGAAUGAAUGAAAACGCAAUCUCGCGCAGAUUUUUU
rnacentral:lncRNA from 1 species